UAAACAUGUCGGCAAAGCUUUUUAGGUUUUUGGGUUCAGAAACAUUGUUCUUGACUUCUUGUUGCCGCUCCCUCCAUCUGCUAUUUCCCGUUCACUCCAUCCAGUCCCGACAACGAAGUCAACCAUAGCAAUCCGCGAAGUCGAUAUCUGCUAGUUCAGCUCGACCUCCUUCCUAUUUUUCUUCCUCUUUCUGCAUAUUCAAUCCGUCUCUCAGACCUUAAUACCCAGAAAUCAAUUAGAUCUGUCCGUCUCUCGCUUUGUGGCCUGCAUCUUGUCUAUCUCCACUGUCAAAACAGAGAUUGUUCACUGUUGAAGAAUUGGCUUUGUACAAUGGGACUGAUCAAAGUUUGCCAAUCUUGUUAGGAAUUCUCCGAUCGGUUUUUGACGUGACGAAAGGAAAGUCUCAUUACGGUGAGGGUGGGGGUUAUAAUCAUUUUUCUGGAAGAGCCAUAAUGUUGUAGAUUAUAAUGAAAAAGUGGUGGAUGGAUUUUACAACGUGUAUGGAAUUACCUCGAAUUCCUUUAGACAAGGGAAGAUGCCGUUGUUGGUGGAAUUUCAAGCUGUAUCAGUUUCAGAUAAUGUCGACUACGAUGUCAUAUUAGUUAACAGAAUGGGUGGUCCAGUUGGAGAUGCGGAUGAGAUUUUAAGAAGGUGGAAAAUAAGGAGGCAUGAGUUGCGGAGUUCAAUGAACAUGCACUAUCAUUCUUCCCCUCGGAAAAAUUGAUGUUGGACUUUCACGCCACCAGGCCCUUCUCUUUAAGGUACUAGCUGAUAAGAUAAAUUUUCCAUGUAUGUUGGUCAAAGGUAGCUACUACACGGGUACUGAUGAUGGAGCUGUAAACUUGAUUAAAAUUGAUAGUGGAAUUGGAAGGUAAUGUCCUCUAACUCUUGAUCUCUCUUUAUGCAUAAUUUUCUGGUGAAACUGAUUCGUUAAGUUUUCUGUUUUACAUGUAUUCUCUGCAUUAAUGUUCAUUUGAUGCCCAUCUAGUUUUAAGCUGUUAGGAUUUGAAUUUACGAUCAUGUUUAAAUGAGGAUAAUAGAAUCAAAGGUACAUGCAAUUUGUUUUUGCCUUGCUAGUACAAUUCCAUUCACAUGUGCAUCAGAUUAAGGUGGUUGAUGCAUGCUUUAAAAUUUUCUGAAACUGUUAUUGAUCUAAGUGAAUGUGUUUGCCAUACCAUGUAGUGAAUAUAUUAUUGAUCUGAUGAGUGCUCCUGGAACACUAAUUCCUGCUGAGGUACCUAGCUACUAGUCAGCUCCCAAAUUCUUUUUUUGCCAUAAGGAGCUUUCAAGAUCCCACAGAAAUGUCUACGGAGAUGCCCAAAGAUCUGUGUUUACUACAAGCUGAAUGAAAACAAAAAGUCUAGAAUUAUGAGAUUGAUGAGUAGUUCAUUUCAUAUCUAACUGCCUCUAGUGACAAACUCGUACUGCAUCAUAUCUAAUUAUCUUCCUUGUUAGUUCAAUUUUGUUAGUUUGGAAUGAAGAAAGUGAUGGAAUUGGACUGGUUUGAAAGACUUGCUUGCUAUAUUCAUCUGACUAUGUGAUUGUGUCAUGUAGAUGUGGUUCAUGAUGUGUCUCAGCAUAUGGAAGAGGUGAGCCAUAAUAUUUUUAUAGGAAUUGAGUUACCAGAAACAACUUGCAUGGGCCUCUUUACCAUUAACUUUUUUGGGACAUAUUGUGCUCGGAGCAUUAGACCCAAAUGGUAGAUAAUUGAAUGUAAUUUGAAUUAUGCUGAUUUCAUUAUGCAAGAUGGUCUGGUAAUUUAUUUGGGUUGUUUUUCUCAAAUUCCUUUUAGAUUAAUAGGGAUGGCUUAAUUAUUGUCGUACCUAUAGCUUUGUAGUUGCUUCUACAUUUGCAAGGAAAAAAUUAUUUUUGGAAAGAAGUUUCUGAAGAAGAAUGAUACUGUAGGUCAUCAUAAUUUUUUUAUUUUAUUCUUACUGCCAAUAAACCUUGCCUUAAGAAUAACGAUGACUGAGAUAAGAAGAAUAAAGUUUUGCCUUUUUUCUUGGAUUUCUUUUUCAUGCAACUGAUGUGUUGUUGUUACUGGUCUCCAGCUUUUUGGUCUUUAAUGCCUCCUUAUCAAGGUGGAAUAUAUGCCCCAGUUGAGCUUUCGUCUUCUUUGUCAUUCUUGUCAGUUCAUGUCACUAUAUUUGAACAACAUUUAUCUUGCUUAUAGUACAACUAGUGUAUGUACAAUGCCUUUUAUAUUUCUCUAUUGUACUUAUGUAAUCUCUCAUGUCAGAUACCUUACUUGUCAGAUUAUCAAACUAGCUAGUUAAUUAAGUGCUUAAUCUAAAGAUUAUCUGAUUAUGUAUAUUCCAAGGUUGAGAACAUAUAUUUUUUCUUGUCUGGACAUUAUUCCGCCAUGUUAAAAGAAAAACCUUAGUUAUGACUCUUCAGUAUAUCUUGAUGUUUUUGAUUUUGAUGAAGAGACUUAGCCAAUUUGGUUUUUCCAUACAUAUGACUUUGCCUGAAUUAUUUUUUAUUGUUUUUGGUUAUAGGUUCUUUGCAUUAUAAUCUCGUUGUUCGAUCUGUGUCAUUUGUCUUCCUCUUAUCAUAAGCUCUAUCUACUGGUUUUGAUUCCAGGUUCAAGAUGCAACCAGUGGCCAUGAAAUUAGAAGGGAGUCCAUAGGAGAAGGAGUUCAUCCACAUUCAACUAGUGAUCAAGAAAUUGAGCAUGCUCCAGUACUCACCAAGCCCCUCUAGUUAAUGAUAAAUAGUAUUGUGGUCAAGGAUGCUUUUGAACAAUAUUAAGUUUGGCAACUUUUCCUUUCAGUUAUCUAGUAUGGUAGGACAUUAUAAUUAUGAAAGACUGUAGUUUGAUUAAUUUCAGUUUGUACUUGGUAGUGGAAUAUAACUUGGCACUUAUCUUUUGAUUAUAUAAUUUCAGUUGUGAGAUAGCUAUGAUUGAAAGGAUUAUUUUGGUGCUUUAUAUUA